ACUGCUCAGUAACACGUGGACAACCUACCCAAGAGUCCGGGAUAACCCCGGGAAACUGGGGAUAAUACCGGAUAGAUCAAACUUGCUGGAAGGCUGUUUGGUUGAAACCCUUGGGGCUGUUGGAUGGGUCUGCGGCUGAUUAGGUUGUUGCCGGUGUAAUGUACCGUCAAGCCUGUAAUCAGUACGGGUUGUGGGAGCAAGAGCCCGGAGAUGGAUUCUGAGACACGAAUCCAGGCCCUACGGGGCGCAGCAGGCGCGAAAACUCUACAAUGCAGGCAACUGCGAUAGGGGAACAUCGAGUGAUCCUCAUAUUGGGGGUCUGUCCACCCGCCUAAAAAGCGGGUGUUAGCAAGGGCCGGGCAAGACCGGUGCCAGCCGCCGCGGUAAUACCGGCGGCUCGAGUGGUGGCCGAUAUUAUUGAGUCUAAAGGGUCCGUAGCCGGCUUUGCAAGUCUCCCGGGAAAUCCAGCGGCUUAACCGUUGGUCGUCCGGGGGGUACUACAUUGCUUGGGACUGGGAGAGGCGAGAGGUACUCAGGGGGUAGGAGUGAAAUCCUGUAAUCCUCUGGGGACCACCGGUGGCGAAGGCGUCUCGCCAGAACAGGUCCGACGGUGAGGGACGAAAGCUAGGGGCACGAACCGGAUUAGAUACCCGGGUAGUCCUAGCCGUAAACGAUGCUCGCUAGGUGUCACAACAGUCGUGAACUGUUGUGGUGCCGUAGGGAAGCCGUGAAGCGAGCCACUUGGGAAGUACGACCGCAAGGUUGAAACUUAAAGGAAUUGGCGGGGGAGCAC
rnacentral:rRNA from 1 species